GGGUGGUAAUGCCGGAUGCUCCAGUUGAUCGCAUGGUCUUCUGGGAAAGCUUUCGCGGUAUGGGAUGGGGUCGCGUCCUAUCAGCUUGACGGCGGGGUAACGGCCCACCGUGGCUUCGACGGGUAGCCGGCCUGAGAGGGCGACCGGCCACAUUGGGACUGAGAUACGGCCCAGACUCCUACGGGAGGCAGCAGUGGGGAAUAUUGCACAAUGGGCGCAAGCCUGAUGCAGCGACGCCGCGUGAGGGAUGGAGGCCUUCGGGUUGUAAACCUCUUUUAUCGGGGAGCAAGCGAGAGUGAGUUUACCCGUUGAAUAAGCACCGGCUAACUACGUGCCAGCAGCCGCGGUAAUACGUAGGGUGCAAGCGUUAUCCGGAAUUAUUGGGCGUAAAGGGCUCGUAGGCGGUUCGUCGCGUCCGGUGUGAAAGUCCAUCGCUUAACGGUGGAUCCGCGCCGGGUACGGGCGGGCUUGAGUGCGGUAGGGGAGACUGGAAUUCCCGGUGUAACGGUGGAAUGUGUAGAUAUCGAAAAAAAACACCA
rnacentral:rRNA from 1 species